rfam:Camelus ferus unplaced genomic scaffold scaffold1278, whole genome shotgun sequence.
GAGAGUAUAGCUCAGUGGUAGAGCAUAUGCCUAGAAUGCACGAAGUCCUGGGUUCAAUCCCCAGUAUCUUCA